GACGAACGCUGGCGGCGUGCUUAACACAUGCAAGUCGAACGGAAAGGCCCCUUUGGGGGUACUCGAGUGGCGAACGGGUGAGUAACACGUGAGUAACCUGCCCUUGACUUCGGGAUAACUUCAGGAAACUGGGGCUAAUACCGGAUAGGAAUCCUUGCUGCAUGGUGGGGGUUGGAAAGCUUCGGCGGUUUUGGAUGGACUCGCGGCUUAUCAGCUUGUUGGUGGGGUAGUGGCUUACCAAGGCUUUGACGGGUAGCCGGCCUGAGAGGGCGACCGGCCACAUUGGGACUGAGAUACGGCCCAGACACCUACGGGAGGCAGCAGGGGGGAAUAUUGCACAAGGGGCGGAAGCCUGAUGCAGCAACGCCGCGUGCGGGAUGACGGCCUUCGGGUUGUAAACCGCAUUCAGCAGGGGCGAAGCUUGUGGUGACGGUACCUGCAGAAGAAGCACCGGCUAACUACGUG
rnacentral:rRNA from 1 species